UUUUUGAGCAAGAGCUAAAGUGGCUCCUAAGAAUGAAUCAAAAUUGAUAAGGAAUUGUUCAAUGAGAUGGGAACGAAAUCAAAAUUUGACUCAUCAUCGAUUCUUCUCUCUUUUUGAGAUCUAUCUUCUCUCGGAGUCACCGUCGAGAUCCGCCGUCUCUUUGUCUCACGCAGCGGAGACGAUAGAGAUUGCAGAGAAUCCCAAUUCAAAACCUCUAAAAUAUCGACUCCUUUACGAGAUUCAAUACCUAGUUAAACUUAACAGCUCGAAGAAGCGAUUAUCAAUCAAAACCGAAGCUUCCAUGAGCGAUAUGAUCCUCAUCGAAUCCAGAAACUUUGAUUGUUGAAGCGAUUGAAGGCUGUUACCACUGUUCCCCUUCCCCCAUAGCCAUCGAUGGAAGAAGACUAGAAGAGUAUUCAUUUUGUUACUAGAAGCUUUGAUUGAGAUCAGCCCCAAUCUCACAAACAAUUUUGAUGGGUAAUUCAAAAGUAAUUGCAGCUGUUUAUGGCCCAAGAGAGCGCAAUGAUUUCUAUUGCUCCCGAUUUGACUUUUGCGAUUUAGUUUUGAAGAGAUUCGUCGAGGUGCAUGUAGAUCACAGUUGUGUUGUGAUGUUACCGUAUUUUAUGUGUUUCACUGGUACGUAAUUGUGUUUGUAAGUUAAAUUAAAACCAAGAAACGUAAACAUAGUUAAUUUUUUUUAAGAAAUAGAUUUGCGGACGUAGUCCCAAAAAUCCAUAAACGUAAACCGGUGUGGAGGACGAUAGUGGAGAGUAGACUGAAGUUGUGUGUGGUUGAAACAUAUUUCAAUCUUAAAGCCAUGCAUCUAAAAAAAUUGUAUUUUACCAAAAUGCAUCAUUUUUUGUCAACCUUUGUUAUAGUUUAUAUCCUUAAUUGAUUUUUACACCAAUUUGCAGUAGAAAAUCUAAAGAAAAGAUAAAGUGACUUAAAAAAAUUAGUGAUAAAUCUGACGGUUGAUAAAAAAAGUGAUAAACCUAAGAUCAUCAUAUUAUGUAUGAACUGAAUAGGACAUAGGAGACGAAAGAACCGUAAAUUUACAAUCACUUUACUGAUAACCCUUCGAGUUCUUGGUGACCAUCCACAACUAAUUAAGCACUUGAUGUGCCAUGCCAAAAUCAGCUUUUGGAUUAUUAGAUGUGGUAACUGCAACAUCCCAUGUCUCUGACAAACUACAAACAAAAAUCAACGACUUUGGACGCCACUGGUGUUGGAUAAGCGCAUUAGCUACACCAUCACUGUUCACACGUGCCUGCAUUGUGGUUAAUGGGUCAAUAACUUUCUGACUACGUUCAGCUUUUACCGGUUAGACUUGAGUGAAUUACACCGUUCCUUGUAGAUAUCCAUGGCAUCAGUGAUGCAGCCUUAUGACCAACAAACCUUAAAAGAGUACUGUACUGAGAAAGCAAACCUAGACAGCUUAUAAAUCACCAAAUUAACCAACUUUCCACCAUUUCUUUGCUUAUUAAAGAACAUCAUUCUUUUAUAGUUUGUUUUACAAGGCCUUAUAAAAAGGUAUAAUUGAGCAUUGAGAACCUCACUAUCUCUUUUCAUUCUCUUCACCAUCCUCUCAAAUCUUAUCGUUGCUUCCUAAGCACCACCA